CUAUUGGGUAAGAAAAACUUUAAGAGGUUUAACAGAACAUUAUGAUUUUAAGCUUAGAACUAAACCUAGAAUUUUCUUGGUGUCCUUUUAUUGUAGGUGUCCAAUGUAUAUUUUAAUGAUUGUAGAACUUGAACUGCUCUAGAAUAUGAAUGACUAGCUUUGUGUUUUACUCCUUUUGAUUUGUGUAAAGGAUCUCCUAUGAGGAGUUCUCGAUUUAGACUUUAAUAUUGUGUGGUUACUUCCUUGACUUUACUGAAAAAAUAUUAAAGUACUUAGUAUGCCAGUAUCUAACUUGAACUGUAUCUUAUACAGUUCUUAUACAUUUAGUGCAGGUACCGUAACCA
rnacentral:lncRNA from 1 species